CUCUGAACCCUCUCCAGUUUAUCAACAUCCUUCUUGAAGUGAGGACACCAGAACUGGCUACAGUAUUCAAGCAGCAGUCACACCAGUGCCAAAUAGUGUGCCCCCUGACAUAGAGAGGAUCCAGUGUUUACAGAGACCUUCCACCCGCAACCCAACUUUGAGGUUGUUCCUCAGUUCUGGAUGAGGAUUUCAUAUUCAAGCCUCCUUUCUAAAAGCUGCAAGUGUUUCAACGCUACCCCUAUCAUGUCUGUCCCAGAGGCUCGUGCAGAUAAGAACAUGACAAAAAUGCACUCGAGAUGAAAUGUUCUGAGCUCAUGCAGUCCUUCCGCACUGAAAGAGCUCCGCAGAAUGUGUGGAGGGAGACACUGUCAGAGACCGUGAAAGCAGAAAAUAAAAGCAAGGACAGGAAUGAGAGGAGAGGUGGUGGGAGCAAGAUGAGAGAUGGCGGGAGC